rnacentral:lncRNA from 10 species
UGAGCAAUUCUUGUGCUCCAGGCCCUGGGUGAGGUGCUGGGAUUAAAACAGUCAACAAUGGUCACCGGCCCUGCCUUCGUGAGUCCAGUCUAGUGGGAUCACAACAAAGUGAGACUCUGCUUCCCCCAAGGCAGAGCCCAGGGACGGCAGACACAGCACAGGCACAUGCUGCGCACUUCCAAGGCACCUUUCUCCUAGAUGACGUGUGACACAGCAGCCCUGGUGUGCCUUGGCCUUGAACAAUUAGGUAGGGCACCAGUAGGGGCAGGAAGACUGACAGCAUGGACCACUACUUCCUGCGUGGCUGGGGCAGGAGGCCCUGAAAGAAGCAGCUACAGAUCCUGCUUUCCAGGUGGUCUCACCACAGGCACAGCCAGUUGCCUGCAACUAAGAACACUGAAGCCCGGCCUGCUUUGGGGGCAUUUCCAGCAUCCCCUCCUAUCUGGAAUCUCUUCCCAAAACAUCCCUGUCCCCAGGGACUGCAUAGCUCCUUUCACCUGGUGGCCCAGCCCUCUCUGUGUGCCACUGGCUCCCUGCCCUCCUGGGUCCCAGGACCUGGGCUGAGUGUGCAACUUUAGCUUCCAUCUGCACAGGGCCCUCUCUGCGGGCUUUGCCCUCCCUGAUGGCAUGUUCUUCUCCUAACCCACUGGAGUGAGGGGCAUUCUUAUCGUCUCCACUUACAGAAGAGAAGCCUCUCAUACAGAAAGGGUAGUUUCCCUUUCAGGCUAAAUCUUCUGAUUUUACCUCUUAUAGUGUCCAUUCCAGCCCUGGCUUCUGACCAGCGUGAGUGCAGCUGAAAGAGGCUAGGAUGGUCAGAAGAUUUUUUUUAAAAGAGAAAGAAUACUUGUUUUGGACCAGACCUGUAGGGUAACAGCCUGGGGUGCAUGUAAACAGAACUUGGGCCUCUCCAGGGAGCAAGUGGGUAGGUGGUGGGGGCAGAGCAGUUAUUAGUGGGGCUUCAGGAGUGAGAGGGCCAGUCUGGGCAUCGGUGUGCCAGAGGGUCCUCUCCUGCCAACCAGGUGGACCUGGCUCUGCUACACUAGUUUCUGGGGGUGCAGGGGAAGCAGGAAGCUGGUGGGGGGAGAGUGGACCAUCUUUGGAGUAGGGAGACCUAUCCUGGCUUUGUGGGGUUAGAGGGGACGUGGGAAGGGGGUACCUGGUAGGAACAGCUUCCUGCUUCCUCUCUCAUCACAGUUCUGCUACUUGGCAAAUAAGGCCUCAUUGGAGCAGAGGCCCAGAGAGGCGCAGGAGAGGGAAUGGCAAGGAGGGAUGUGGAGAGACCUUUCACUCACAGCUGGAGCCAGAGACAACCCCAAGUUCAUAGGAAGUGCUGUGUGACCGCUCCACUUGCAUGUGGCUUUCUCCCACUUUCACAUCUGGCUUCUGACACCCAGAGCUGCGUGUGAGGCCAGGGAGAGGGGGCCACCUCCCUGGCACCCCAGGGCCAGGGGUGUCAGAGCUGCACAGGAAGUGAAGGAAUGCUAUCAGGAAGGGGGUGAGGUGGUGCCAUUCCAGGAAUGGGAGGGGCAGGGCCUGGGGCCACCGACUGUGCAGAGACAAAGCUGGGCCAUCCAUACCUUCUGGAUUUUCCUGAUCAGGCCCAACUCCAAACACUCUGUCCUGUUGCCCCCAGGAGUGUGUAAGUUGGGAGGGUCAUUUGGGGGCCAGGCUCUGUGCUGCGUCCAGGGCAGGGGAAAGCAUGGGAGGGGCAAGAGAGGCAGGACACUGCCCUGGAGAAGACAAGUCCCUUGUUGGUUUUCUCCCAGGGCUGACAGCACAGACCUGACCCAGGCUCUGGGUAGAGGAGGCAUGACUGGCUAGUGGGGCUAGCCUUUGCCCUAUAACUGACCUGAUCCGUAGGUGUUUCCCAGGGGGCCUCGGUGUCUCAGCCUACACCAAGGCACUGAAGGAGAGUCUCCCUUUCCUUUCCUGAAUGUAUCGGCAAAGAAAAAUGGGCAGAGGCUUCUAAGAGCAUCCUUGCAAAAGGCUCCCAAGGGAUGGGCUGUCUAUGUCUUAUUGCAAGAGAAACAUUCCUCUGAUUUAGGAGGAACUGCAAG